rnacentral:tRNA from 1 species
UGGGUUGUAGCUCAAAAGUAGAGUGCUCACCUAGCAUGUGUGAGGCCCUGGGUUCAAUCCUCAGCACCACAU